GCAGUCGAGCGGCAGCGGGAAGUAGCUUGCUACUUUGCCGGCGAGCGGCGGACGGGUGAGUAAUGUCUGGGAAACUGCCUGAUGGAGGGGGAUAACUACUGGAAACGGUAGCUAAUACCGCAUGACCUCGAAAGAGCAAAGUGGGGGAUCUUCGGACCUCACGCCAUCGGAUGUGCCCAGAUGGGAUUAGCUAGUAGGUGAGGUAAUGGCUCACCUAGGCGACGAUCCCUAGCUGGUCUGAGAGGAUGACCAGCCACACUGGAACUGAGACACGGUCCAGACUCCUACGGGAGGCAGCAGUGGGGAAUAUUGCACAAUGGGCGCAAGCCUGAUGCAGCCAUGCCGCGUGUGUG
rnacentral:rRNA from 1 species